rnacentral:rRNA from 1 species
CUACGGGUCGCAGCAGUGAGGAAUUUUGCGCAAUGGGGGAAACCCUGACGCAGCAACGCCGCGUGAGCGAAGAAGGCCCUCGGGUCGUAAAGCUCUGUCAAGUGGGAAAAAAAUCUUUUGAUCAAUAGUCAAAAGACUUGAUGGUACCACUGGAGGAAGCACCGGCUAACGCCGUGCCGGCAGCCGCGGUAAUACGGCGGGUGCAAGCGUUGUUCGGAUGUACUGGGCGUAAAGAGCGUGUAGGCGGUUUAGCAAGUCAGAUGUGAAAGCCCUGGGCUCAACCCGGGAAGUGCAUUUGAAACUGCUUCACUAGAGUAUGGGAGAGGAGAUUGGAAUUUCUGGUGUAGAGGUGAAAUUCGUAGAUAUCAGGAGGAACACCCGUGGCGAAGGCGAUUCUCUGGACCAAUACUGACGCUGAGACGCGAAAGCGUGGGGAGCAAACAGGAUUAGAUACCCUGGUAGUC